rnacentral:rRNA from 1 species
GAUGAACGCUGGCGGCGUGCCUAAUACAUGCAAGUCGAGCGAACAGAUAAGGAGCUUGCUCCUUUGACGUUAGCGGCGGACGGGUGAGUAACACGUGGAUAACCUACCUAUAAGACUGGGAUAACUUCGGGAAACCGGAGCUAAUACCGGAUAACAUAUUGAACCGCAUGGUUCAAUAGUGAAAGGCGGCUUUGCUGUCACUUAUAGAUGGAUCCGCGCCGUAUUAGCUAGUUGGUAAGGUAACGGCUUACCAAGGCAACGAUACGUAGCCGACCUGAGAGGGUGAUCGGCCACACUGGAACUGAGACACGGUCCAGACUCCUACGGGAGGCAGCAGUAGGGAAUCUUCCGCAAUGGGCGAAAGCCUGACGGAGCAACGCCGCGUGAGUGAUGAAGGUCUUCGGAUCGUAAAACUCUGUUAUCAGGGAAGAACAAAUGUGUAAGUAACUGUGCACAUCUUGACGGUACCAGAUCAGAAAGCCACGGCUAACUACGUG